GUGAAUCAUCAAAUUUUUGAACGCAAAUUGCACUCUCUGGUAUUCCGGAGAGUAUGCCUGUUUGAGGGUCAGUUUAAAUAAAAAUCGGUGUGGUUGUUCCCUUUCGUGGUGGCGCAGCGGAUUUUGGUCGUCUUGCCUUCGGUUAAGUGACCUAAAAUUUUACAUGAUUUUGUUCGAUCGUAUUUUAGUUAUUUUACUGAAGUUUGCGAUAUACAAUACUAGGUUUGGUCGUU
rnacentral:misc_RNA from 1 species